rnacentral:rRNA from 1 species
AUACGGAGGGUGCUGGCGUUGUUCGGAAUUACUGGGCGUAAAGAGCAUGUAGGCGGAUAGAUUAGUCAGAGGUGAAAGCCCCGAGCUCAACUCGGGAACUGCCUUUGAUACUGUUUAUCUAGAGACCGAGAGAGGUGAGUGGAAUUCUCAGUGAAGAGGUGAAAUUCGUAGAUAUUGGGAAGAACACCAGUGGCGAAGGCGGCUCACUGGCUCGGAACUGACGCUGAGAUGCGAAAGCGUGGGGAGCGAACAGGAUUAGAAACCCCAGUAGUCC